rnacentral:sRNA from 1 species
UCUUAAGGUAGGCUGACUAAGAUCGGCACGUCCUGCGGCAACGUCGGCAUGACCCACAUUCUGUGGG